GAUGAAGAACGUAGCGAAAUGCGAUAAGUAACGUGAAUUGCAGAAUUCAGUGAAUCAUCGAAUCUUUGAACGCACAUUGCGCCCGCCAGUAUUCUGGCGGGCAUGCCUGUUCGAGCGUCAUUACAACCCUCAGGCCCCCGGGCCUGGCGUUGGGGAUCGGCGGAAGCCCCCUGUGGGCACACGCCGUCCCUCAAAUACAGUGGCGGUCCCGCCGCAGCUUCCAUUGCGUAGUAGCUAACACCUCGCAACUGGAGAGCGGCGCGGCCAUGCCGUAAAACACCCAACUUCUGAAUGUUGACCUCGAAUCAGGUAGGAAUACCCGCUGAACUUAAGCAUAUCAAUAAGCGGAGGA
rnacentral:misc_RNA from 1 species